CUGGCCAAUUGGAUGAUUCGGUUGCCAAACCUGGUGUUGAAAUUGAGAGCCCUUGGAGAUCUUCUGGCCAAUUGGAUGAUUCGGUUGCCAAACCUGGUGUUGAAAUUGAGAGCCACUAGGGCUGCUUUCAAAUGUUUGUCCAGCAAAAUGAAAUUGGCAGCCAAGGAAAGAAAGAAUUCUCUUCUUGCAAUGCUUCAAGAUCUUGACAAAAAGGAAAAAAAAAAAAGACUCUCUUUCAGUACCAAUUCAUUAUCG
rnacentral:lncRNA from 1 species